AAUCCAUAGGUUAAUGAGGCGAACCGGGGGAACUGAAACAUCUAAGUACCCCGAGGAAAAGAAAUCAACCGAGAUUCCCCCAGUAGCGGCGAGCGAACGGGGAGGAGCCCAGAGCCUGAAUCAGCAUGUGUGUUAGUGGAAGCGUCUGGAAAGGCGCGCGAUACAGGGUGACAGCCCCGUACACAAAAGCGCAUGUGCUGUGAGCUCGAUGAGUAGGGCGGGACACGUGGUAUCCUGUCUGAAUAUGGGGGGACCAUCCUCCAAGGCUAAAUACUCCUGACUGACCGAUAGUGAACCAGUACCGUGAGGGAAAGGCGAAAAGAACCCCGGCGAGGGGAGUGAAAAAGAACCUGAAACCGUGUACGUACAAGCAGUGGGAGCACAGGUUUACCUGUGUGACUGCGUACCUUUUGUAUAAUGGGUCAGCGACUUAUAUUCUGUAGCAAGGUUAACCGAAUAGGGGAGCCGGAGGGAAACCGAGUCUUAAUUGGGCGUUAAGUUGCAGGGUAUAGACCCGAAACCCGGUGAUCUAGCCAUGGGCAGGUUGAAGGUUGGGUAACACUAACUGGAGGACCGAACCGACUAAUGUUGAAAAAUUAGCGGAUGACCUGUGGCUGGGGGUGAAAGGCCAAUCAAACCGGGAGAUAGCUGGUUCUCCCCGAAAGCUAUUUAGGUAGCGCCUCGUGAAUUCAUCUCCGGGGGUAGAGCACUGUUUCGGCUAGGGGGCCAUCCCGGCUUACCAACCCGAUGCAAACUGCGAAUACCGGAGAAUGUUAUCACGGGAGACACACGGCGGGUGCUAACGUCCGUCGUGAAGAGGGAAACAACCCAGACCGCCAGCUAAGGUCCCAAAGUCAUGGUUAAGUGGGAAACGAUGUGGGAAGGCCCAGACAGCCAGGAUGUUGGCUUAGAAGCAGCCAUCAUUUAAAGAAAGCGUAAUAGCUCACUGGUCGAGUCGGCCUGCGCGGAAGAUGUAACGGGGCUAAACCAUGCACCGAAGCUGCGGCAGCGAACGUAUCACUU
rnacentral:rRNA from 1 species